GAGGGGGCGAAUUAGAAAUUGUUUGUAUAUGUGUGUCCGCGUCCUCUGAGAAAUUGAAAUCGACAAAAAAAAAUCUAGCUAGGGUUUUUUUUUUGAAUCUCUCUCAAUGUCCAUGGAUCUCAGUUCAAGCACGGAGCCCGAUGUGAUGCAAACCAUGGAUGCAUCUUUCACGGAUCUGUCUUCGCUUUGUGGCCAAAAACGCAAGGCCGAAACGAUGGCUCAGACUACGAGUCGCCUGAGGAGCCUCCCGCGGAUGAAGAGGAAUUUGAGAUUCGUCGAUUCGUACGCAAUUAUCACGAGAGCCAGGGUUUUAAGGUGGAUGAAGAUAUGAUUCCUAAAUCUCAUCCUCGUCGUUAUGGAGGAUUACGCGGUGUCGAUCUCGAUGACCUCUACGUGGAGCCCCUCACGGGGCGUGACUACAUGGAGAUGAUGGCCAAUCUCGCUAUUGCCAAAUACAACCAAGUAGAGGUUACUACUAUAAAAAGACUGUUACGCGUGAAGUGAUCUUAGUGCAGUGGCAGGAGGUAAGUCCAUUUGUAGAAGGCACAAUCACACCAGGGAUCGAGUCCCGCUUCC